AUUGAACGCUGGCGGCAGGCUUAACACAUGCAAGUCGAGCGGGGAAGGGUAGCUUGCUACCUAACCUAGCGGCGGACGGGUGAGUAAUGCUUAGGAAUCUGCCUAUUAGUGGGGGACAACAUUCCGAAAGGAAUGCUAAUACCGCAUACGCCCUACGGGGGAAAGCAGGGGAUCUUCGGACCUUGCGCUAAUAGAUGAGCCUAAGUCAGAUUAGCUAGUUGGUGGGGUAAAGGCCUACCAAGGCGACGAUCUGUAGCGGGUCUGAGAGGAUGAUCCGCCACACUGGGACUGAGACACGGCCCAGACUCCUACGGGAGGCAGCAGUGGGGAAUAUUGGACAAUGGGCGCAAGCCUGAUCCAGCCAGGCCGCGUGUGUGAAGAAGGCCUUUUGGUUGUAAAGCACUUUAAGCGAGGAGGAGGCUACUUGGAUUAAUACUCUAGGAUAGUGGACGUUACUCGCAGAAUAAGCACCGGCUAACUCUGUGCCAGCAGCCGCAGUAAGAC
rnacentral:rRNA from 1 species